rnacentral:rRNA from 7 species
AUGCAUGUCUAAGUAUAAGCACUUGUACUGUGAAACUGCGAAUGGCUCAUUAAAUCAGUUAUCGUUUAUUUGAUUGUACAUUACUACAUGGAUACCUGUGGUAAUUCUAGAGCUAAUACAUGCGAAAAGUCCCGACUUCUGGAAGGGAUGUAUUUAUUAGAUUAAAAACCAGUACGGGUCAAACCGUUCUUUUGGUGAUACAUGAUAACUUAGCGAAUCGCAUGGCCUUUGCGCCGGCGAUAUUUCAUUCAAAUUUCUGCCCUAUCAACUUUCGAUGGUAAGGUAGUGGCUUACCAUGGUCGUAACGGGUGACGGAGAAUUAGGGUUCGAUUCCGGAGAGGGAGCCUGAGAAACGGCUACCACA